rnacentral:rRNA from 1 species
UACGUAGGGUGCAAGCGUUAAUCGGAAUUACUGGGCGUAAAGCGUGCGCAGGCGGUUAUGUAAGACAGGUGUGAAAUCCCCGGGCUUAACCUGGGAACUGCAUUUGUGACUGCAUAGCUAGAGUACGGUAGAGGGGGGUGGAAUUCCGCGUGUAGCAGUGAAAUGCGUAGAUAUGCGGAGGAACACCGAUGGCGAAGGCAAUCCCCUGGAUCUGUACUGACGCUCAUGCACGAAAGCGUGGGGAGCAAACAGG